AGAGUUUGAUUAUGGCUCAGGAUGUACGCUGGCGGCGUGCUUAACACAUGCAAGUCGAACGAGGUCCAACCUUCGGGUGAAGACCGAGUGGCGAACGGGUGAGUAACACGUGGGGAACCUGCCCUUCUCUCUGGGAUAACCUCGGGAAACCGAAGCUAAUACCGGAUACUCCUUGCGGACCGCAUGGUCUGCUCGGGAAAGCUCCGGCGGAGAAGGAUGGCCCCGCGGCCCAUUAGCUUGUUGGUGGGGUAACGGCCCACCAAGGCGACGAUGGGUAGCCGAGCUGAGAGGCUGAUCGGCCACACUGGGACUGAGACACGGCCCAGACUCCUACGGGAGGCAGCAGUGGGGAAUCUUGCGCAAUGGGCGAAAGCCUGACGCAGCAACGCCGCGUGCGGGAUGAAGGCUCUCGGGUCGUAAACCGCUUUCAGCAGGGAUGAAAAUGACAGUACCUGCAGAAGAAGCCCCGGCUAAAUACGUGCCAGCAGCCGCGGUAAUACGUAUGGGGCAAGCGUUAUCCGGAUUCAUUGGGCGUAAAGCGCGCGUAGGCGGCUUGUUAAGUCAGGCGUGAAAUCCGGGGGCUCAACCCGCGGCUUGCGUCUGAAACUGGCAGGCUUGAGUCUGGUAGAGGAAAGUGGAAUUCCUGGUGUAGCGGUGAAAUGCGCAGAUAUCAGGAGGAACACCAGUGGCGAAGGCGGCUUUCUGGGCCACGACUGACGCUGAGGCGCGAAAGCUAGGGGAGCGAACAGGAUUAGAUACCCUGGUAGUC
rnacentral:rRNA from 1 species